ACGAGUAACGGGUCCUUCGGGGCUCGCACUCCAACCCUAUGCUUACCUGCUCUGUGCCUCGGCAGGGAUGCCUUUUAGGUACACCUGCCGGGAGAGAGGCCGUAACAGACAGCUGGCUUUGGCCUGCUCGAGACGCGGCUUCGGCCAAUUAAACUCUGCAUACAACUUAAAAGAGUCUGAUCUAAAAUAUAUGGCAUUA
rnacentral:misc_RNA from 1 species